rfam:Gossypium hirsutum cultivar TM-1 chromosome 20, whole genome shotgun sequence
GAACCAAUUACGGGGCUCUCUGAACUCCGAACCUAAAAGGAAGGGAUGGUAAAAUACGGCUGCUAGUUCAUGGAUGCCCCUGGAUGCGUACUUUAGCCAGCAUUAAACAUCGAAAGCCAGGCCGAGGAUGCGCAAGCUAAGGGUUUGCAUGAACUAGGAGACGUCAUUACCUUGAUUUUUUAGGUAUUGGGGUGAAGGGAGCUCCGUUUCUCUUUUCU